UACGUAGGGUGCGAGCGUUAUUCGGAUUCACUGGGCGUAAAGGGUGCGCAGGCGGUUGGGUGUGUCAGAUGUGAAAUCCCGAGGCUUAACCUCGGAACUGCGUCUGAAACUACUCGACUAGAGUACUGGAGAGGGAAACGGAAUUCACGGUGUAGCAGUGAAAUGCGUAGAUAUCGUGAGGAACACCAGAGGCGAAGGCGGUUUCCUGGACAGUUACUGACGCUCAGGCACGAAAGCAUGGGGAGCAAAAGGG
rnacentral:rRNA from 1 species